rnacentral:rRNA from 1 species
GGUCUUCGGAUGCUGACGAGUGGCGAACGGGUGAGUAAUACAUCGGAACGUGCCUAGUAGUGGGGGAUAACUACUCGAAAGAGUGGCUAAUACCGCAUGAGAUCUACGGAUGAAAGCAGGGGAUCGCAAGACCUUGUGCUACUAGAGCGGCCGAUGGCAGAUUAGGUAGUUGGUGGGAUAAAAGCUUACCAAGCCGACGAUCUGUAGCUGGUCUGAGAGGACGAUCAGCCACACUGGGACUGAGACACGGCCCAGACUCCUACGGGAGGCAGCAGUGGGGAAUUUUGGACAAUGGGCGCAAGCCUGAUCCAGCAAUGCCGCGUGCAGGAUGAAGGCCUUCGGGUUGUAAACUGCUUUUGUACGGAACGAAAAGCCCUGGGUUAAUACCCUGGGGUCAUGACGGUACCGUAAGAAUAAGCACCGGCUAACUACGUGCCAGCAGCCGCGGUAAUACGUAGGGUGCGAGCGUUAAUCGGAAUUACUGGGCGUAAAGCGUGCGCAGGCGGUUUUGUAAGACAGAGGUGAAAUCCCCGGGCUCAACCUGGGAACUGCCUUUGUGACUGCAAGGCUAGAGUACGGCAGAGGGGGAUGGGAUUCCGCGUGUAGCAGUGAAAUGCGUAGAUAUGCGGAGGAACACCGAUGGCGAAGGCAAUCCCCUGGGCCUGUACUGACGCUCAUGC